rnacentral:lncRNA from 1 species
CUACCUUCUCUUUCUUUUCUUUAUUAAGCCUUCUUUUUAUGUGCCUCCUGGAGAAAGAGAUAGGGCCAUUCAACUUUUCGCUGUACUUUCACUUUCUUUGCUCCGAACCAGCACCUUGCUUGUUUUUUUUUUUUUUCUUUGAAUUGUGAGUGCUGCUGAGCGCGAGCCAACCAGACCGGCGGCACUGGGUUAGCGCGUGUCGCUGCUUGCACGAACAAAGUGCAGGUUUUGCCCUCACUUCCUCGCCAGCCCAGCUGCUUAUUUUGGUUGGCGCCACAGUUCGCCACGAGCCCCUUUCAUGAUGUAUUCUUUGCAGAAUGUUUCGCUUCUCAGCAAGGCGUUUAUUUGCAGUAUUCUCACUUGAGUACCUAUUCCCCCUUGUGCCCGAGUGUACCACGCUCUUGAGCCUCGGCGAUCAAGUUUGUGCUGAUAUACUUCUCUGGUGAAAGUGCUGCUCCGGUUGUUGUGUACGGCGGUGCACCGGCGCGAGUCGCGGUUUGCAAUCGGCGGAGGCGCCGGUGCUGCGCGUAGCAGACGACACGAGCGCCGUAGCAGACGGCAGUGAACGAAGCUCGGCGACGUCGCUUUGUGCAAGCACGCGUUGGCUGAUGCGUCAUCGUCGUAUGCUGGCUACACCGCUGCCGCGUUGUCCGUUGCAAACCUGCAAGUUUGAGCGCUACCUUCGCACCUACCGCCUGCGCCAGCACUGAGCUCCGAACGCUGCAAACGCAAAGUGUGGUGUCACGUUUGUCACGGUGUUGUGCAAAGUGCGCAAGUUCGAGGAGCGUCGCACUGUUGAUCGUGUGUGACAACGUAGACUUGCACGUGGCGUCAGCGACAGCACCUUUACUUCGCAUCGUAACGCCCACCGCUGAAACCGAACAAAAGCUUAUCUGCGACGGACGUAUCCUGUUCCCCACACCGCCCGGUCUUCGACAGAUGCACCCGCUUCUGACACCUUCCUGUCGCCAUCCACUGAGUGAAUGAUGCCAGCAGCGCUGAGGAACCUGUCGGUCGAGGCCGCGGCGAACACCCAGCCAACGCACGCGAAGGUGCCGAGCCAGAAGCUAGACCUGGGUUAGGCCUCGCGCCGUCGGCCCUACGGAGGCCGCCCGCGAGCCCGAGCCCAGCGAGCAGCAGCG